UAUGCAGUUUUGUUAGGUGAGGGUAUACUCCGGGUGCACAGUAGGUAAGCACUUUAAGUACACUCAAGAUAUUACAUGGCUUAAACAACUAGUGGUAGAGCAGAGCUAAGCUACGUUGUAGUCAUAGUAACUCGUUUCAUUCACAGUGAAAAUAGCAGAGCAAAAAAUGGUUUGCUUCCAUCAUUUAUUCAAUCUUUGGGAAAUGGUUGUGCUGCUAAAUAACCUAUCUAAACAUUGAGAAACCAACAAUUCUACAUAAAGAAAAUGAUCCAAAAUUACAUGUUUGGGUUAUUGUUUUCUGUAGUGUGGAGUUCGAUAAAUGGAGCAAACGAUAAGAUUAUUGCCAUUCAAGAAAAAAAGUCACCAGCAUAUCUUGCUUCUUCUUUUUAUCAAGCAGCACAAGAGACAAAAAAAGAAACAAAGUAAACAAAAACAUGGGAUAUGACCGAUGAAGUGCACAGUGAGUGACGAGUACGAAAUGUAACCGCAUGCAUGA
rnacentral:lncRNA from 1 species